UAGGAUCCUUUUUUUAUUAUUGUCAACAUUCAAGAAUUAAAGGCCCUUUUAUGUUUCUUUGAGUAUUGAAAUUGUAAGAAUAAAAAGAAGUCUCAUAAAAAAAGUUCACCUAAGGCCCUAAAUACUAUAAAGCCAGUCUAAUAAGCUUAAUCAAAUUUCGUAUGCUUGAAGGAAUAUUUCCCUUAAUAAUGUUGAAACUCGAGUCCAUCAACUCUAGCUUCGAUAAGUUGAAGUAAGAAUUUGGGAUGGGACUAGUGAAAUUGCCAUUACGAAGACUCAAUAUUCAGGGUGUCUUUACUUGAGGGUUUAGGGAAUGAAAAUGAAGAAAUGAGAAUGAAACUCAUAUUUUCUUGGCAAAAUAUAAUUUAGGAAUGAGAAUAAUUUGGGAAUAAGGAAUGAGAAUCACAUUCCCAUGGAGGGUUGGGAAUGGGGAUUCCCAUUCCUUGAACUGUCUUUUGUAUCCCUCUAAUUUUUUUAUAUUUUCUAAAUUACCUUCGUUCAAAUCACAAUUUAUUUUAUUAUUUUAAAUGUCAUUAUUAUUAUUAAUAACUUAUUAUUUUAUUUUUUAUUAAUUAUUGUUAUUUUUAUUUUUAUUAAUAUUAUCAUUAUUAACAUUUAUUAUUAUUAUUUUAAUUAAUAUCAUUUUUAUAAUAAUAUUUAUACAUGUAUCUAAUUAAUGAAAAUUACAUUAUUUAAUAUUAUGGAUAUUUUGGUAAAUUGAUUCUCAUUCACAUUCCUAAUUCCUAUUUAUUUUGUCAAGUAAACAUUAGAAUUUCAUUCUCAUUCCAGCUCAUUUCUAUUUUCAACCCAUUCUCAUUGUACUCCAUUCUCAUUCCAUGAAAUAAAUACACCAUCAGAAUUUGGAUACGAUAUCCGUUCAAGAUGAAAAGUUUAGAUUUAAUUUGUUUCUAGUGAAACUUAUGAUUCGAAAACGGCAUAAUUGCCACAAUUCGUUGGACAGAUGACCAUAGAAAUUGUUAUGACUAUUAUUAAGAUACAUUAAGAAUGAGAAAUUUCCUAAGUGCGGGGGAAUUGCGCCUUGAGGACCCAUAACGGACAAAUCCAAGGCCGUAACUCUAUUAUGACCAGCACCGUAGAAACUCCAACUAACUACAAAGUGCGUAUGAAGUAUGAAUAGGCUCGAGUCCAUUUGUUAGCUAGAACGGCCUACAGCCCAUCUAAUAUUUAGGAAAAAUUUCAAUUUUAUUUUAAAAAAUACCAUUAUAUGUAACUGCUGCUGUUAUCUUUACAAGUUUGCCACUUAUAAGUUUGCCAUUCCAUAUAAACUUAAAAACAAGUCAUAUAAAUUUAAUCCGAAAUCUAAUAACUCGUCAAACUUAGGGAUAGUAAUGGAGCAAAUAUGGAUUGGAUCUACAUUGCUCUAAAUUCAGAUCCAUAAUAAAAAUUAAGAUCCGUAGUUGCUCCAGAUCUAUCAUGGAUCUAUAUUUUUCGUUUCAUAUCCAGAUA
rnacentral:lncRNA from 1 species